AACGAACGCUGGCGGCAGGCUUAACACAUGCAAGUCGAGCGCCCCGCAAGGGGAGCGGCAGACGGGUGAGUAACGCGUGGGAAUCUACCCAUCUCUACGGAAUAACGCAUGGAAACGUGUGCUAAUACCGUAUACGUCCUUCGGGAGAAAGAUUUAUCGGAGAUGGAUGAGCCCGCGUUGGAUUAGGUAGUUGGUGGGGUAAAGGCCUACCAAGGCGACGAUCCAUAGCUGGUCUGAGAGGAUGAUCAGCCACACUGGGACUGAGACACGGCCCAGACUCCUACGGGAGGCAGAAGUGAGGAAUAUUGGACAAUGGGCGCAAGCCUGAUCCAGCCAUGCCGCGUGAGUGAUGAAGGCCCUAGGGUUGUAAAGCUCUUUCACCGGUGAAGAUAAUGACGGUAACCGGAGAAGAAGCCCCGGCUAACUUCGUGCCAGCCGCCGCGGUAAUAC
rnacentral:rRNA from 1 species